CGUAUAUUAAAGUUGUUGCAGUUAAAAAGCCUCGUAGUUGGAUUUCGGCUGGAGCGAUCGGCUCCGCCCCGCAAGGGGUGUGUACUAGCGUCGUCUCCGACCAUCCUUGUGGGAACUGUGCGGCCGUUAACUCGGUUGUAUAUGGGAACACAUCGUUUACUGUGAAAAAAUUAGAGUGUUUAAAGCAGGCUUAAGCCGUUGAAUACAUUAGCAUGGAAUAAUAAGAUAAGACUUGGGUCAUUAUUUGUUGGUUGCGGAUCGAGGUAAUGAUUAAUAGGGAUAGUUGGGGGUAUUCAUAUUUAAUUGUCAGAGGUGAAAUUCUUGGAUUUAUGAAAGAUGAACUUAGGCGAAAGCAUUUACCAAGGAUGUUUUCAUUAAUCAAGAACGAAGUUAGGGGAUCGAAGAUGAUUAGAUACCAUCGUAGUCUUAACCAUAAACUAUG
rnacentral:rRNA from 1 species